UACAGAGGUCUCGAGCGUUAGGCGGAAUCACUGGGCUUAAAGCGUGUGUAGGCGGAUUGCUAAGUACCUCGUGAAAUCCCACGGCUUAACCGUGGAACUGCUUGGUAUACUGGCUGUCUUGAGCCACUUAGGGGCGACCGGAACAAACGGUGGAGCGGUGAAAUGCGUAGAUAUCGUUUGGAACGCCAAAGGUGAAAACAGGUCGCUGGGAGUGUGCUGACGCUGAGACACGAAAGCCAGGGGAGCAAACGGG
rnacentral:rRNA from 1 species